AGAACGAACGCUGGCGGCAGGCCUCAAACAUGCAAGUCUAGGGGGUGUAGCAAUACAUCACCGGCGGACGGGUGCGUAACGCGUGGGAAUAUACCUAUUGGUUCGGAACAACUGAGGGAAACUUCAGCUAAUACCGAAUAAGUCCUUACGGAGAAAGAUUUAUCGCCAAUAGAUUAGCCCGCGUUCGAUUAGCUAGUUGGUGGGGUAACGGCCCACCAAGGCGACGAUCGAUAGCUGUUCUGAGAGGAAGAUCAGCCACACUGGGACUGAGACACGGCCCAGACUCCUACGGGAGGCAGCAGUUGGGAAUCUUGGACAAUGGGGGAAACCCUGAUCCAGCCAUGCCGCGUGAGUGAUGAAGGCCUUCGGGUUGUAAAACUCUUUCGACGGGGACGAUAAUGACGGUACCCGUAGAAGAAGCUCCGGCUAACUUCGCGCCAGCAGCCGC
rnacentral:rRNA from 1 species